GACGUGGCCGAGUGGUCUAAGGCGUAGGAUUAAGGCUCCUAUCAGAAAUGGCGUGGGUUCGAACCCCACCGUCGU
rnacentral:tRNA from 1 species